AUACGGAGGGUCCAAGCGUUAUCCGGAUUCAUUGGGUUUAAAGGGUCCGCAGGCGGGAAAAUAAGUCAGUGGUGAAAGCCUACAGCUCAACUGUAGAACUGCCAUUGAUACUGUUUUUCUUGAGUAUAGAUGAAGUGGGCGGAAUAUAUCAUGUAGCGGUGAAAUGCAUAGAUAUGAUAUAGAACACCGAUUGCGAAGGCAGCUCACUAAACUAUUUCUGACGCUCAGGGACGAAAGCGUGGGGAGCGAACAGGAUUAGAAACCCCUGUAGUCC
rnacentral:rRNA from 1 species